CCUCAGAAUCUUUAGAAAUAUGAGUGAAUGGAGUAGAAUAAUGUGACAGCAUAGGGGAGAUAUUUCAGGAAACCUGUGCCAUACUUGGAAAUUGCACGAACUUCUGUCUGUUUUGUGGUUUAGUAAGUACCAAUAGAGGAGAAUAUUUGUAUGACCAUAAGGGAUGGGGC